rnacentral:piRNA from 1 species
UGAACCAUGGAGUGUAAAGGCAGGA